rnacentral:misc_RNA from 1 species
GAUGAAGAACGUAGUGAAAUGCGAUAAGUAGUGUGAAUUGCAGAAUUCAGUGAAUGAUCGAAUCUUUGAACGCACAUUGCGCCCCUUGGUAUUCCAUGGGGCAUGCCUGUUCGAGCGUCAUUUGUACCUUCAAGCUCUGCUUGGUGUUGGGUGUUUGUCUCGCCUCUGCGUGUAGACUCGCCUCAAAACAAUUGGCAGCCGGCGUAUUGAUUUCGGAGCGCAGUACAUCUCGCGCUUUGCACUCAUAACGACGACGUCCAAAAGUACAUUUUUACACUCUUGACCUCGGAUCAGGUAGGGAUACCCGCUGAACUUAAGCAUAUCAAUAAGCGGAGGA